UAAAAAUACAAAAUUAGUCAGGCAUGGUGGCGCAUGUCUGUAAUCCUAGCUACUUGGGAGGCUGAGGCAGGAGAAUCGCUUGAACCCAGAAAGUGGAGGUUGCAGUGAGUCGAGAUCACUCCAUUGCACUCCAGCCUGGGCAACAAGAGGAAAACUCCGUAACAAAGAAAGAAAGAGAGAGAGAGAGAAGGAAGGAAGGAAAGGAAGGGAGGAAGGAAGGAAGGAAGGAAGGAAGGAAGGAAGGAAGGAAGGAAGGAAGGAAGGGAGAGAGGAAGAAAGGAAAGAAAAGAAAGAAAGAAAGAGAAAGAAAAAGAAAGAAAGAAAGAAAGAAAGAAAGAAAGAGAAAGAAAGAGAAGAAAGAAAAAAGAGAAAUGACUAUGUCUAGAGAAAAAGAUCUAGUGGGCAAACUAUAAGUGAGUAAAUCAGGCUAGUAGCAAACAUAUUCAGGAACCACCAUGAUAAAAUGUGGCUGCUUAUCUUUCCUGUUUGAACAGGAGGUCACAGUUUUGCUAUAUAGAGUUGAAAGGUUGUAUAGACAGGAUGUGUUAAUUUGAGUUAGAAUUCAUCUGGGGCACCUGGACAGUUAAUCCAUCUCUGGGCUUCAGGAAUCCAAUACUACCCUAAGAACACUGUUGUAGAAUGUAUACGGCAUGCUGGACAUGGAAAUCGGCUUGCUCCAUUGGUGGUGGGGCAUAGAGAGGUUCAUGUCAGCCCAGCACAUCCCCAGGAACUAUACCAGUUUCCUUAUUGCCCAAGCCAAUAUCUACAAUGCAAAGCAUCUUUCAACUGUAAUUUAGGAGGACUAUGAGCUGGCCACCUGAGUUUUUGCUUGCAGUUCAGGAACUAUUGCUAAAAAUGCAUUUUAUGGUGAAACAAGGGAUUAGCUAAUCUUUCAGGCUAACAGAGGACCAGCUACAAAUGUUUCCUGUGUGUAUUGUGAAACUCUGAGAUAACAGAGAAGUUCCUUAUUGCCCUCUGAAUUUCCCUUCCCCCAGGACCUCCACUGGUCACACAAGCCAUUAUCUGAGACAAGCUGACCAGAGCGUGAUGCUAUAACUUUUUUUGUUCAUACUUCCAAAUUAAAUCUGGUUAGAAAAAUAAAUGGCUAGAAAGUAUUUAAAUCUUGUCUUGAAUCUUGGAGGAAUUUACUUAUUUUUCUUCAUCUGUUGGCUACCCUUCUUUAAAAAAAAAAUUAUUAUUAUUUUUUUUGAAACGGAGUUUUGCUCUUGUUGCCCAGGUUGGAAUGCAAUGGUGCGAUCUCAGCUCAACGCGACCUCUGCCUCCCGGGUUCAAGCGAUUCUCCUGCCUCAGCCUCCCGAGUAGCUGGGACCACAGACCAGAGUGAAGACAAAUGUGUAUUACUUGGUAGCUUAUGAACAGCAAGGAAAAACUGACUGGCAACCGCCAUGGAAAGGUGUGAAACCGUAACCACGAGGACUCUCACAUUUACAUGUUACUGACUAGCGAAUGUCUAGGCCUAAAACAUCUGCCCUCUUAUAGCUGUUUUAUUAUUAUGUAAACAUGGCUACAAGAUUUCUGACAUAAAAUAGUAGAUGACUCAGUGUCUUCAAAUGAUUAAUUGCUGGUUUUUUUGCCUGACCUCUUUCUUCAUUUCUUCAAUAAUAAAUCUAUUGUCAUGCAUUGAAUUACGGAAGACUGAAGCUCCCAAAUGCUGGGCCUGAAAAUGCACUCACUCUCUCCAACAGCAUGCGGGUGUUUCUCAUUAGUUUCAUAAGUGCCAAGAAAAUUUCAAAAUGAUACCAAACAAGAAUAUUUUAAAUUUUAUCACAUUACCAGCUAAGAAAUCUGUAAGCACAUUGUUAAUUCACUUAUAUUCAUCGCACAGCAAAACAAAUAUGGCAUUUCAAAACUGAGAAAGUUAAAGCCUCCUAUAAGAAGUCUAUAGCCACCGUUUCUUGAGUCCUGUCUUCAUAUCUCAUUCCUCCCAGAGCACAUCUCUCACCAAGGUUCCUGUUAGAUUCCAUUCUGGUUUGUGUCUUUGUGGAGGCAUGUCUGUCCGUAGCCAAGACACAGAGGGCUAGACUGGUUGUAACACAAAUCAGAAAUUUCUGCCUUGCAGCUGCCUGGGGAAGUAACAGUUAAUUGAGCGUGGGAGCUGUGUGUAGACCCUCAAGACUAACAGUUAAGAGGCAAGGUUUCAGUAAAAAUGUUUAGAAGCUGCAUACCACACAGCUGGAAAUGAAGGGCAGAGCUGUUUUCUGGGGAAUUUGAAUUAUGUGUACAUCCAAUCGAGAACAAUAAAUGAAUUUGUGUCCAGCAAUAAUAAUCCCUCAGUUAUAGAUAGACAUACCAUUUAUGCAGCACUUCCCAUGAAUUCUGUCUCACUGAGCCUCACAACAGUUCUGUGCAUACAAGGCUGUUAAUUGCAAGCCAUUUUAUUUAUUUAUUUAUUUAUUUUGAGAAGGAGUUUAGCUCUGUCGCCCAGGCUGGAGUGCAGUGGUGUGAUCUCAGCUCACUGCAACCUCCGCCUCCCAGGUUCAAGCAAUUCUCCUGCCUCAGCCUCCAGCGUACCUAGGAUUACAGGCAUGUGCCACCAUGCCUGCAAUUUUUGUAUUUUUAGUAGAGAUGGGGUUUCACCAUGUUGGCCAGGCUAGUCUUGAACUUCUGACCUCAGGUGAUCCACCCGCCUCGGCCUCCCAAAGUGCCAGGAUUACAGGCAUGAGCCUCCAUGCCCGGCCAUCAUGUCAUUUUAGAGAUAAGAACUCCAAGGCUGCAGGAGAUGAAAUAGUUGGUUCCCUUUUGAACUAGAUGUGAGUGGCAAGCUGGGGAUCACAUUCAGGUUUUCUGAGGGUACUUUUUACUAAGCAGGAUGCCUCUGUCCUCAAAUCCAGGUUAAGGAAUUCACCCCCUUAACCGGCUUUCCAUUUGACAAAGUGAGAGUCCUAUUAAUCUAAUACUGAACUUCUGUUAGUCCAUUUCCAUUGUACUGAAACACAAAAGACAAAUUCCCAUCAUUAAGAAAGUUGUAACAAGGGGGAUAUUUAUGUCUCUCUCCCCGUCCUGCUUUGUAUUCUCUUUUUAUUUUUUUCAUUGCUUUUGUAAUUCAGAUUGUAUUAGAAAUUAGAGGAAGGUUGAAACUAGGUAUAUGGUGACCAAGGUGUGGAAGAUGGAAUUCAUCCUCUUUUCUCCAGGUUUUUUGAGUGGAAGUUCUGACAAUAGGGACAGUUGUGUCACUGUGUUCUAUGCAGUGUCAUUUUAUUUUCCUGAAAACAUUUGUCCUUGCUACAAGUAGAUUAGAGGUUAGAAUGCAGGAUUGGCAGGCAGGAUUUGUGGUUUCUAUUUUUAGCCCUGCCACAAUUUUAUUGCACAAGGGUGAGUCCUAAGCAGUGUGGUUUAUUGGAGAGAGAACUCGAUUGGAACUGGCUCUCCUGUGAAUGAAUGAUACUGAGCACCAUAGCUGAGCAUCAGCCGAGAGGAAGGGUCCAGACUAGUGUGAGCCCCUCCAUCACCAAAUACAAGCGUUCCUAUAACUAAUGUAUGUGAUUCACUACUCUGCAGGAGGACCUGCA
rnacentral:lncRNA from 1 species